ACAUGCCUACAACAUAGCGUUAAUGCACCAGAUCCCAAUAGAACUUCACAAUUAACCACGCUUAGUCUAGAGUAGUACUGGGAUGGGUGAUCACCCGAGAAAUCCUAGUGUUUUACAUGCC
rfam:Picea glauca, whole genome shotgun sequence.